CGAUCUUUCAGAGAGGUGAGGGCCAGGAACGGGAGCUGGGCCCGGCCCUCUAAAGGAAGAACGGCUAGCAACCACCAACACCAUGAGGGACCGUUAGGACUGGCCUGCAAGGACACGCAACAGGAGGAGGACACAUGGUCGUUCAUCUCUUUGAGGAUCAAAGCCACGUUGUAACGGAGCUCGUGGAAUUUAGACACGGGCACCUGGACAAGGAAGAGACGACGACAAUUCACGUCACACAAGGCGUCAGGCAAGAAAAUGACUAGUGCGCUGCUAGAAAAACAACUGCAAUCCGAAACUAAUGCAUCCUAAACCUUCUGUCAAACGUGGGCUGGGUUUUUGUUUUGAUUACACUUUUUAUUUUUAUUUUACUUUAAUCUCAUUUUAUCUUUCUUGUGUUUAUGUUAAUAUUACACAAAGCUGUGGUGACAAAGUAAUCUCCCUAGUUUAUCAUUAAAGUUUGUCUAAGUUUAAGUCUAAGUUUUUAUUAUUAUUAGUUAUAACCCCUUUAAUUUCUGUCCCUCUAGACCACAGGUCUUUUUCAGGCAAAGGGCCCCAAACUGAUGGAGAAAUUACACAGGGACCUACUUAAUGUGUUCUAUAUUAAACUCAGCCUUGUGUUAUUUAUAAAUAUACACUAUUAAUAUCAUUUUGCAUUCAAUAUUAAGCUGUUCCUUAUCCCAUUACUAAAAUAUAUUGGAUUCAUGUUAAUGUGUAUUCAAAGAAACUUAAAUUUGUGGGGGAAAAUUUAAAAUCAAUAUUUAAAAUGUCUAAUCCACCAGUGAUUUUUUCGACCCCCUGGGAGCUUUUGGCCUGCGGCCUGAUCUAGACCCUGUGUUUAAACUGUUUGCAGCUGAAAUGGAAAAGACGCAUCUGCUAAUAAACAGACAAAGAAGGCAAA